GCCAGGCAUGGUGGCGCAUGCCUGUAAUCCCAGCUACUCGGGAGGCUGAGGCAGGAGAAUCCCUUGAAGCCAGGAGGUGGAGGUUGCAGUGAGCGGAGAUCAUGCCACUAUACUCCAGCCUGGGUAACAGAGUGAGACUCUGUCUCAA
rnacentral:sRNA from 1 species